CGUGGCCGAGGUACGGCGCCGGGACCGGGGCGCCGACAUCGCCCUGGACGCGGAAACGGGGCUCACCGUGCCCGGCUGGGAGCCGGGGCUGCGGC
rnacentral:tRNA from 1 species